rnacentral:rRNA from 1 species
AGAAUCAACGCUGGCGGCGUGCCUAACACAUGCAAGUCGCACGAGAAAGGGGAGCAAUCCCUGAGUACAGUGGCGCACGGGUGAGUAACACGUGAAUUAUCUACCUCCGAGUGGGGAAUAACUGAGAGAAAUCUUAGCUAAUACCGCAUAACACUUACGAGUCAAAGCAGCAAUGCGCUUGGAGAGGAGUUCGCGGCCGAUUAGUUAGUUGGCGGGGUAAUGGCCCACCAAGACGAUGAUCGGUAUCCGGCCUGAGAGGGCGCACGGACACACUGGAACUGAAACACGGUCCAGACUCCUACGGAGGCAGCAGUGGGGAAUUUUGCGCAAUGGGGAAACCCUGACGCAGCAACGCCGCGUGGAGGAUGAAGCCCCUUGGGGUGUAAACUCCUUUCGAUCGGGAAGAUAAUGACGGUACCGAUAUAAGAGCCCCGGCUAACUUCGCGCCAGCAGCCGC